AACGCUUAUUCGUUAAAUUGCGAUUAGAAAAAACGAUUGUAGUGGCACUAAAUCGUCAAAUUGCGAUUAAGAAAAACGAGAAUCGUAAAAAUGACGAUACUCGUAUUUUUAUUUACGAGUGCCUUCAGCUCUCGUUCAGCUUUCGUUUUGUCAAAUGUCAUUUUGUUUUUGUUUGGUUGGUUUUUGUUUUGUUAAGUGAAAAAAUACCUACAAAUAAUUCUAAGCAGUUGGAUUUGCUGGUAGCUUUUAUGGAAACCAAUCCAAACAUAGCAAAAAAUUACUUGCCGACGAGCCAAGCCAAAGCCAAAUCCAAAAUUAUUUGGAAGGCUUUGACUGAUAAGCUAAAUGCAUGCGGUCCUCCAGAGAAACCAAUGGAUGGUUGGAAAAGUGUAUAUAAAGAUUUUGGGUACAAUCUUAAGGGCAAAAUGCGUGGAAAUUUGCUUACUUACGUUGAACUUGGAAGGCUCAUUGGGUUCGAUGAAUCUCUUAAAACUCUUCUUUUUAUACGCAUUUCCUCUUCUUUGUUAGUUUGGGAUUCAUCUUCGCUUUCAAGGAAAUAGUCGCAGUGAAAAAACAUUUUAUAGAAUUUAUGCAAAUUACAUUUAUUUUUGAAACUUC